GACGAACGCUGGCGGCGUGCUUAACACAUGCAAGUCGAGCGGUAAGGCCUUUCGGGGUCCACGAGCGGCGAACGGGUGAGUAACACGUGGGUGAUCUGCCCUGCACUUCGGGAUAAGCCUGGGAAACUGGGUCUAAUACCGGAUAUGACCUCCUAUCGCAUGGUGGGUGGUGGAAAGAUUUAUCGGUGCAGGAUGGGCCCGCGGCCUAUCAGCUUGUUGGUGGGGUAAUGGCCUACCAAGGCGACGACGGGUAGCCGACCUGAGAGGGUGACCGGCCACACUGGGACUGAGACACGGCCCAGACUCCUACGGGAGGCAGCAGUGGGGAAUAUUGCACAAUGGGCGAAAGCCUGAUGCAGCGACGCCGCGUGCGGGAUGACGGCCUUCGGGUUGUAAACCUCUUUCAGCAGGGACGAAGCGCAAGUGACGGUACCUGCAGAAGAAGCACCGGCUAACUACGUG
rnacentral:rRNA from 1 species